rnacentral:rRNA from 1 species
UACGUAGGGUGCAAGCGUUACUCGGAAUUACUGGGCGUAAAGCGUGCGUAGGUGGUUGUUUAAGUCUGUUGUGAAAGCCCUGGGCUCAACCUGGGAAUUGCAGUGGAUACUGGGCGACUAGAGUGUGGUAGAGGGUAGUGGAAUUCCCGGUGUAGCAGUGAAAUGCGUAGAGAUCGGGAGGAACAUCCAUGGCGAAGGCAGCUACCUGGACCAACACUGACACUGAGGCACGAAAGCGUGGGGAGCAAACAGG